UCCUCCACCCAGUGGAAUUUGGGGUGAUC
rnacentral:piRNA from 1 species